UGAUGGGAUUUACCUGGGCCACAGCAGUUAAAAGUGGUGCUGCCCAGUGUUCAGCUUCAGAGUGAUGGGGAUGUUUCUGUGGGCACCUCAGCCUCAAUGUCUGCCUGGUGCUUGGCCUGGCUCAGCAGUGAGCUCUGGGCAGGCUUUGAGCACGGAGCUGUGGGUGUUUGGAUGAGCUGUGAGGCACAACCUGAGCGAGGCAGCAGCAAAAAGCAUCGUGAGCAGAGGAGCGUAUUGGAGGAGUGUAAGGACAGAGCACCCACCUCUACUGGGAUCCACAAAACAUCUCUCCGAGUGGAACGGCCCUCAGCUUUGGAAGUAUGGCCUCAAAACCUCUGUGGUGGUGGCACAGAUCUGCAUGGGGAGCAUAGGGCUGCAGGGCGGCACCAGGACCGCGCUUCUGAGCGAGCAGCAGUGAUUAUUUCAGAUCUCUGCUAUGUGAGUUAUGUUCCUCCUUCCCGAUGCGCGUUUUUGGCAGCAGGGAAACAAGAAAACCGCCUUGGAAAAUAUUAACAAAAUGGAAACUGAGAUCGUAAAGCAUUUUGCUCUGGCCUGCUUUCCCUUUUGCGAUCUGCACCAGCAGGGCCGUAAGCCAAUUUAGGGCCAUUUAACCUCGGGGCUUUCUCACGGAAGGAAGAGCUCUGGCAGUGCACAAAGCCCAGCACCUGCAGGCUGGGAUGCAGUGCAGAUGUUCCCAGAUGUGCCGCGGGCACCGCGCUCGGGCCGCCGGGUCACGUUCUGCCUCAGUUAUUAAGGGAACGUGAUGCUGGUCUGUAAUACCACCGGUGUGUAUUUUGGACAGGUUUGGGUAAUUGGAGAAGUAAUGGAAAUUUAGCACCGUGUGGCCCUGGGGAAGAGCAAACUCCAAGAAUAAGAAGGGAAGCACGGUGCAGAGAGCCGGCACGGCUCAGCAGCUCUCCUGUUCGUUGGGAUUUUGCCUCUUCCUUUAGAAGUUCCUUAGCUGCAGCAAUCCUUGCGGUGACACCUCUUGCUUUGCAGUGUUUUCUCCACCAAGUCUCCGUAGCUGGAGGCCAACCACUCGUUUCCCUUCGGCACCCAACCCGCUGAGCGCUAGCAGCCCCUUUGCAGCCUGAGAACUCACCAACAAAUUGCUUCCACACUCUGGCCCGACAUCAAAACUCGUGCAGUACAAGGGUUAACCAACUUAAACGUUUAAAGAGUCAUGAAAUGGACGGUUUCCGCUUUCCAUCUGGCUUUUAUCAGUCCUAAGUCGGUUUCAGAAGUACAGCUACACAAUCAAAACACACAAUCUCCCUAGUCAGAUAAUUCAAUUUCAUAAAUGAAUUACUUAUGUGCCUGUAAGUAAAUACAUUCCUAUGUGGGGAGAUAUUGACUGCUGUCAAUGGAGUAAUGAGGUCCAGGGGAAGUGGCUGCGGCCCCUUGGGGGUGUCCUGUAGA